rnacentral:rRNA from 1 species
UACGUAGGCAGCAAGCGUUGUUCGGAGUUACUGGGCGUAAAGGGUGCGUAGGCGGCGCGGAAAGUUGGGUGUGAAAUCCCUCGGCUCAACCGAGGAACUGCGCUCAAUACUACCGUGCUCGAGGGAGACAGAGGUGAGCGGAACUUAGGGUGGAGCGGUGAAAUGCGUUGAUAUCCUAAGGAACACCCGUGGCGAAAGCGGCUCACUGGGUCUCUUCUGACGCUGAGGCACGAAAGCUAGGGUAGCGAACGGG